rnacentral:lncRNA from 1 species
GUGUGCAGGCUUAGAGGGACUAGGCUGGGUGUGGAGCUGCAGCGUAUCCACAGGCCCCAGGAUGCAGGCCCUGGUGCUACUCCUCUGCAUUGGAGCCCUCCUCGGGCACAGCAGCUGCCAGAACCCUGCCAGCCCCCCGGAGGAGAGAGCUCAUGCGUGAUCAGGGAGUAAAACUCAUUCCCGUUUUAGGCCAAACACAGAAAAAUUAGGAAGGACAGCCCCAAGGGGCCAGAACCACCACCCUACACAAAGCCGUGAGGAGACAGUCCCUGUGCAUCUCUGCGAGUCCCUGAACUCAAACCCAAGACUUCCUGUCUCCUGCCAGGGCUCCCCAGACCCCGACAGCACAGGGGCGCUGGUGGAGGAGGAGGAUCCUUUCUUCAAAGUCCCCGUGAACAAGCUGGCAGCGGCUGUCUCCAACUUCGGCUAUGACCUGUACCGGGUGCGAUCCAGCACGAGCCCCACGACCAACGUGCUCCUGUCUCCUCUCAGUGUGGCCACGGCCCUCUCGGCCCUCUCGCUGGGAGCGGAGCAGCGAACAGAAUCCAUCAUUCACCGGGCUCUCUACUAUGACUUGAUCAGCAGCCCAGACAUCCAUGGUACCUAUAAGGAGCUCCUUGACACGGUCACUGCCCCCCAGAAGAACCUCAAGAGUGCCUCCCGGAUCGUCUUUGAGAAGAAGCUGCGCAUAAAAUCCAGCUUUGUGGCACCUCUGGAAAAGUCAUAUGGGACCAGGCCC